UGCUGAUUAUACUCCCUCUCCUCCCUCUAGGUCAUCAGGCUGCUGAUUAUACUCCCUCUCCUCCCUCUAGGUCAUCAGGCUGCUGAUUAUACUCCCUCUCCUUCCUCUAGGUCAUCAGUCUGCUGAUUAUCCUCCCUCUCUGACCUCUAGGUCAUCAGGCUGCUGAUUAUACUCCCUCUCUGACCUCUAGGUCAUCAGGCUGCUGAUUAUACUCCCUCUCCUUCCUCUAGGUCAUCAGGCUGCUGAUUAUACUCCCUCUCCUCCCUCUAGGUCAUCAGGCUGCUGAUUAUCCUCCCUCUCCUUCCUCUAGGUCAUCAGGCUGCUGAUUAUACUCCCUCUCCUUCCUCUAGGUCAUCAGACUGCUGAUUAUCCUCCCUCUCCUCCCUCUAGGUCAUCAGGCUGCUGAUUAUCCUCCCUCUCCUUCCUCUAGGUCAUCAGGCUGCUGAUUAUACUCCCUCUCCUUCCUCUAGGUCAUCAGACUGCUGAUUAUCCUCCCUCUCCUUCCUCUAGGUCAUCAGGCUGCUGAUUAUACUCCCUCUCUG
rnacentral:lncRNA from 1 species